GCCCGGGUGGCGGAACGGUAGACGCGCUGGACUUAAAAUCCUGUGCCCAAUAGGGCGUGUGGGUUCGAUUCCCACCCCGGGCACCA
rnacentral:tRNA from 1 species